rnacentral:rRNA from 1 species
GUCGGUGACCAUAAACCAGGGGUCACACCUGUUCCCAUUCCGAACACAGCAGUUAAGCCCUGGUUGCCGAUGAUACUGCUCCGCGGGAAAGUAGGUCGUCGCCGGCU